rnacentral:lncRNA from 1 species
UCUCGGAUUCCGUAGCACCCUCGCAGGCGAUUUUUGCGGACAAUUCUUCAAGUGCUGACAAGUGCUCGAUGCCGGCAGGUCCGGCCCCGUUCUGCUCCGAUCCACUGCCAUUAUUGUACCACAGCACAAGCCUCUGGAGCUUGGGCAUCACACCAGCCUGGAACAUCAGGUGCCACGGGCUGCUUAAUACGAGAUCAAAACGCUUUAGAGCAAGGAACGCUCCUCCCCCAUAGAUGACAAUCAUUUCCUUUGUGUCAUGUCGUAUCAUUAUAUCGAGGUGGGUGAGGGCGGGCAACUCUGCAAGGAUACCAACACCAUCAGCUAGCAGCUCUCCAACUUUAGAGCACAAGUAGAUGAGGUUACGGAGUUCCCCCAUCCAGCUAGGGACUCUGGAAAACCAGCUGCCCUCAGUGUGGUAAAAUCUCUCAAGGCGGCAAGGAGUCGAGGGAGAAAACAAUGGCAUCAAACCAUCAAUGCAGCCAUCCAACUCGGCAUAUAGUUCCUCGAGGUUACAAAGUCUUCCCAAGGAGGAGCAUAGGGCAUCCAUGCGUUUCUCCUUGUCAUCCCCAAGGUUUUGGCGGAGAUCUAGAUACCUCAGAUUGGUCAGCUCCCCAAGGCCAUUAAAAUUAUCUAGCGUGUUUAGGUUUAAAACAAAUGAACUUAGAUAUCGUAGGGACUUUAAGUUGCGAAUCUCAUCAGGUAGCCUACAAUAAGCAACCAGAUGCAUCAAGUGUGGUAGAUGAACCAUAUCUGAUGGUAUACUGUCACAAAAGGGCACCUCAAGUGACUGCAAGUGUUGUAGCACUCUAAUAUGUGUUGGUAGUUGGUAUGACCAACCGUAACUAAUCGAUAAAUAUCUCAGCUGAUAGAGUUUACACAGUCCACUGAGGUCUACUGCAGCAGAACGGGCCAAACCAGUAAAAAACACUCGGAGGAACUUGAACUCUGACAGAGGAGGUGUAUUCUCAGAGCUCCCAAAGAACAUAACUGACCGAACCUGUGACACACUAGUGUUCUUCGGUAUUAUUGUUUGACCAUUCUUCCUUGCAGUUGCACCAUCAAAGCGGAUAGACAGCCGGCGGACCUUGUAUUGCAAUCCUGCAAAAUCUUGUGGGUCGUUCACUAUAGUGAAAAAAUUCUCUUGCGCAGAGGGCGGAUAGACAGCCGGCGGACCUUGUAUUGCAAUCCAUGCAACCCUGGAAAUUGACAACCAGUUCCUCGAGGUUACAAAGUCUUCCCAAGGAGGAGCAUAGGGCAUCCAUGCGUUUCUGCUUAUCAUCAUCCCCAAGGGCGGGGGAGGAGAGAUAUAGAUACCUUAGAUUGGUCAGCUCCCCAAGGCCCUUGAUAUUAUCUAGCGUGUUUUGCGCAAUAUCAAAUAGAUAAAAAUAUCGUAGGGACUUUAUGUUGCCAAUCCCAUCAGGUAGCCUUUGACUAGUAUUCAGAUGCAUCAAGCAUGGUAGAUGAACUAUAUCUGAUGGUAGACUCUCAUCAUACCUGGGCACGUCAAGUGUUUGCAAGUGUCGUAGCACUCUAAUCUGUGUUGGUAGUUGGAAUUGCCAAUUGACACUAGUCCGUAAAUACCUCAGCUGAUACAGUUUACACAGUCCAGUGAGGUCCACUGCAGCACUGCUGGGGAGGUCGACAAAAAGAACUCGGAGGAACUUGAACCAUGAUAGAGGAGGCGAAUUAUAUCUAUCAGGGCUCCCAAAGAACAUAACUGACCGAACCUGUGACACAUCAGAGCUCGCUUGUAAUAUUUUUUGACCAUAACUUGCACCGUCCAAGCGGAUAGACAGCCGGCGGACCUUGUAUUCCAAUCCUGCAAAUUCUUGUGGGUAAUCCACUACAGUGAGAAAACUCUCUUCUGCAGACUUCAGCAAGAUAAGAUCGAGCAUCAUAUCAUGAACUCUGCAAUGUGUCACUGACCCUCUAUCGUCAAAUCGUACUGGUUGGAUAAGGCUCCUAUUGACAAGCUCAUUGAAAUAAUUUCCAGCAACCUUCUCCACAUCCUGUCCAUGUCCUUUACUGAUAAAACCUUCUGCCAUCCAUUGACGUUCCAAAUCAGUCCUCUUUAUUGUGUAGUCCUCUGGAUACAUACCGAGAUACAAUAAAUAUGUCUUCAGAUGAGGAGGAAGAUCUUUAUAGCUAUAGUUUAAGAUUUGUCUCACCCCAUCCAACGUGAGGUUUGCACCUGAGCCCAUAGAAUCUCGUACAUGUUUCCACCUUUCCUUUUGGUUGGAACCUUCACUUGCUAGCAUGCUAGAUAUACUAAUAAUUGCAAGAGGCAAACCACCACACUUUUUCAGAAUUUCAGCCGAAACUUCUUUGAGCUGUUGCGGGCAAGUUUGUUCUGAGCCAAAUAUCCUAUCAAAAAAUAGUCUUCUUGAUUCUUCGUUGCUAAGGGGCUUCAUUUGUAAAAUGUAAUCAUGACGAUUGGAGCAACAUGUCGUAGCCACUUCCUGAAUUCUUGUAGUUACUAUUACUCUGCUGCCAAGAUCAUUUUCUGGGAAAUGCACAUUUUAUAAUAACCCAGGCUGAGACACUCCAUAGAUCAUCAAUUAUAAUCAAGUACCUGCCAAAUAUUUCAGCAUAAUAUUAGGUAACUAAAGAAGCAGAGAUUUAGAAAAUAAACAUUAGAAGUUGAACCAGAAAAUUUAUUUCUUCAGCCAGAUACUAGGUGUGUUUGAAUAAAAAAUUAGAUUCAUUAAUAAGCAAGUGAUCGUUAAUAAACUAAAUUUACAGAAAAAUCAAAAUAGAAACGCUAAAAUUAUUUUAACACUUUUUGUUGAAGUAAUGUUGUUUUCACACAAAAGAAACUUAGCAAACAAUUCAAGGUUUCAAACUAAGUUGAGUUCUUGUACAAGUUUAUUAAAUGCAACUUGAUUAGGUAAGAUGCACAACAUUUUUUCCUUUUUCGUGUUUAUUAGGCUAGCUUGUAUAAUGAUUUUCUCCCAAGGUUUUACUCGUGCAGCGUCCUUUUCUUUUUUGACUGGAUUACACAUAUACAAUAUAUAUGCAUCUUUAAGAAAUAAUCUUAUUAUCAAGACAGCAACAUCCAAUACACCAAGCAAGAACAUGUACCUCUUAUUUUGUAGAUGUUCUCUGAGGUUGCCAAGAAGAACAUUUAAUUCGCAAUCAUGAGAAUAUGGUCUAAUCCCAAGUUGGGAUAGUAAACUGCAAAGAAGUUUUGGGAUGUCUGGCUUUUGAGACACCGGAACAAAAGCACAGCAGUUAAAUUCUCCCUUGAGCCUACCAUAGACCACAUUGGCAAGCGUUGUUUUGCCCAAACCUCCAAAUCCCACAAUUGAUACCACCUUCAACUGAUUAUCCUCAUCUUUCAACAAAUCUGCAAGUUCAUCCGCUGGCCCUUCCACGCCAACAAGGCUAGCUGUAUUUUCAUAGAGUGCGGUAACUCAUGGGUCAACGGCAACAACAUUGUUCGAUGGAGGGAUAAUAUUAUCAAGAUCAUAUCUUUUGCGCCGGUCGCCUGUCUCAUGCACAAGUUUCUUGAUCUCUUCAAUCUGGCUGGCAAUUUGGUGACGAAAUCUCAAAGUUUUGAGACGUCGAAUGGUCUUGCGGACAAACCAUGAUUUCUUGUAUUUCCCCCCAAUCUUUUGCAUGAAGUCAUCGACUAUAUCCUCGAUGUCAUAAGAGAUCUCCCGCAGUGUGUUUCUCCAUCUCUUGGUUUGUGGGUCUAGCUCAUCCACAUCUGCAAGCCUCUCGAGAGCAUCCUUCAUGUCCAUAAGCUCAUCGGUGAUGAAUUUGACCUGUUUUCGCAGGUUUUUCAGCCUAGCGAACUCCUCCCCCAUGAGGGUGGCCAGUUUACCCAGGAGCGAGUUCAUUGCGCCAGUAGAAGCGCUCACCAUUAUUCCAGCCAUUUCUUGAAGGGCAGCAAGUUUAUCUUGGCUCCUAGUUAUAAUCCUGCGGUAUGCAUAGACACAUGCAUGUGUAUAGGUCAGAGCUCCCUAGUUGUACUGAAUUAAGCAACCAAUAAUUCCUAUAGAUACUUGUAGUACCUAGCUUGUAAGUGCUUAUCCAUAUUUGAAAGCGAUCAGGUUGACAAAGAAAGGAGCUGAUGAGUUUGGAGAGUUUUAAUUACCUCAAAAGCUGCAACGUGUGCUUGGAGCGGAUCCAUAAGCCGAUCGAUUUGCGUGAGUAGUCCGUUGUUCUAGGGGGUUUCUUUCUAGCAUGCCUUGCUUCUGGUGACUCAAAGCAUGCUAAUAGCCCAGAUCGAGAAGAUGCCCGCGGCUGCAGAAGCGAACUAAUGUAUUACCGGAGACAUCAUUAGUCACGAUGGUGGUUGAGAAAUUAAGGAGAUGCAAAACUUGGAAGCGAUCCAAUUAUAUAUCGUUGUAGACGACGAAAAAAACAACAAGCAACUGAUAUAAAGUGUUGGUUGAAUGUUUAUCCGUACGUGGUUAGGUGGUGGAUGCAAUGCAUGCGCGACCUAGGGAUAUUCUUCAUGCAACUGAUAUAAAUUGUUGGUUGAAACAACUUAUAUAUAUGAAUUGUAUGCAUCUAUACAUCAUGUAUAUACAUCGUGUGUGACACCGGGCAUUUUCUAGGUCUGAAAGAGCUUCGAAAUUUCCUGAGUGAGAAUGCAUGCGUAGACAAUAUUGGACCAACGUUGUCCUUAUCUGAUUAAUUUUAGGACUAAUUUUGCUAUGAAUCGGGUAUAGUUUUGACCACACGCAUUUGCGUGGUCAGCAAUUGCAAACCAACAAUAUAGUACAAUCCAAAUAUAUUUUACCAGUUCAACCUUGUUGACUGUUGUUCAAGCGUCUCUGUCAAAUGUUUACGUUGUGCCUGCGUUUUAGAAUAUUUUUUUUGUUUUGAGAGGAACCUGCAUUUUAGAUGUGAUCGUUUAUUGAAGAAGCCAGCCAUCCAGACAGCUUUGUUUAGGCGCCCUGUGGAUUCAUGCAUGCAACCAUCUGCUGAUCUAAAUGUCAUUACCAAUUUUUGCUCUUCUGCUUUCAGAACAAUUAGUACCAAAUUUUGCUAGCAGCCAUUGCUAGGCCUUGAUCUUGUUCUGGCCCAUCCAAGCCCGUCUCGCCGCUUCGGAGGAGAUGCAGAACCCGGCCGGUCAUCCUAUGCCUAGCUUGUUUGGCCACGAUGAUUGGGUGCCCUGUCGAUGUAGCUGUCAGUCUAAAUGUCCAUAUACCAAAUUUUGCUAGUGGCACAUCCACAUAGCUAGGCUGAGAAACCAUUUCUGGAUCAUCUGUUGUGACCUUUUUCUAUGUUAUAUAUCCGAUCAUAUAUAUGCCCGUUGAGUUCACUGGUAUAUCUACCAACAAGAAUAUGAUACUGGGAUGGGAUUCUUGCUUCAGGCAUGCGUCUCUGUUGUUUCAAACACAAGAUUGCAUUGUAUCAAAGCUACUAGAUCAGUGGUAUUAAUAUCACACACAGCUUGCUUAAGACUGAAAUUCUUAGACACGUAUUGAUGAGAAGGACGAUUCAAACCAUUUGUCACUAAAUUAGAUGACACUUGAACUUUGGACACCAUCGUUCCAGCAGAACCAAAAAGAAAAAAAAGAAGUUAUAUAUCACUUGUCUUCUUAAAUUUAUCACCCCAGGCAACAUGUUAGCAAACCAAAGAAAUUUAUCAUGAAUCUUCAAGAAUGGAUGGUUCAGUUCAAUACAAAAAGGAACGAUCAAUUCGAUACAAAUGAAGUAGAAAAUAAACACACCACAAUAAAAAACCAAGAUCACUCGGAGGCUGGGCAAGUGAGUGCAGAGUGCAAACUCUUGCCUACGGCUACAACCAAGCAUUAUUACAAUAUAAUUUAAAGCCUGAUUAUUAUCAUCUCUGAGAGGCAGAAUGCAACUCAGUGAGAUGAUGAAUCAGAUUGACAGAAGAGAAGAAACAGUUUGAUGAAAUGAGAUAGCACGAAGCAAAGCUGUAGCUCGAUCUUCCGGCUGGGACACCUCCAUCUGUUGUGACAUAUAUGUCAGCCUGCAGCAUUAAUUCCUCUGUUUUUCCCACCAUGUUGUCACAGAUAAAAGAAGUUGCCAUCCACUCCUGAAUUUCCUGAAAACAGAUAUCAUUGCAAAUGGUCAGAACGCCCGAAAUUACUCCGGCGAAAGGAGUUCGGCACAGCCAGGUGCCUGUUCGUUUCUCUUCUCACGUUAGUCUUCCAGUGCCGCAGGAACAUAAACAAGUGCACUAAGAUCAUGGUCAAACAAGAAAUAAAUAUGCUAAAUAUAUAUUACUUGCAAAACUGAUAGUGCACUGAGACCUAUGUCAUUUAAUUUACAGCCAUGAGAGAAAAAUCCUAAUAAGACAAAUUAAUUCUCACAGAUAUGGUAUUGAGAAUCUGUUUUCUUUCCUUGCUAGAAUAUAAGUACACACAGCAUCUCAAGUUUUCAAUAUGCACGCGUAACACUGCACAAAAGCCUAAGGUGUUCAACGUGUAAACUUGGUUAGAAAAGAAUAUAUUAGCUAGCAAAAACAAGAAAUGAUAUAAUGGCCAUCUAGAAGAACUUCACACGGUAAGGUUGAACGAAAACAAAUAAGCAGAGAGAUACUGUACCGGAGGUCGGGAGAGGGGAGGUGACACAGUUACCAGCUGCUUGCCGCUGAGCCGAAGGAAAAAAAUUAGUCCUAUAGAAAACUGCGUCUGGGAUUGUUAAGAAGAAAAUUAAAACACGAGGAUGGCUGGGAUGCAUGUUGAUAGCACUCCUCAAGGCUGACUCUGAGCUUGCCUUCUCGGAUUCCGUAGCACCAAUGCAGACGAUUCUUGCAGAGAAUUCUUCAAGCGUUAACAAGUGCUCCAUGCCGGCAGGCCCGGUACCGUUCUGCUCCGAUCCGCUACAGUUGAACACCAGCAAGAGCCUCUGGAGCUUGGGCAUCGCACCAGCCUGGAAUGUCAGGUACGACGGCCUGCUUAAUUGGAGAUCAAAACUCUUUAGAGCAGGGAACGCUCCUCCCCCAUAGAUGACAAUCAUUUCCUUUGUGGCAUCUCGUAUUUUUAUGACGAGGUGAGUGAGGGCGGGCAAUUCCGCAAGGAUACCAGCACCGUCAGCUGGCAGCUCCCCAACUUGGCAGCGCAAGUAGCCCAGGUUACGGAGUUCCCCCAUCC